ACAGCCGGUGGCUUUGCAAGCCACCACCGUCGCCACGCCGGACCACCGGCCACCUCCUCCUCUCUCUUCCCUGGCCAGCACAGCCCUUGAAGCCGAUGAAACCCGCCGGAAAAACGCAGAAAAUUUGCUGGUUUUUGACAGAUUUUCCCAUUGCUCGUUCUCCCUCAAUUCUCCACCAAAUCGGACGAAUGAGGCCUGUCGGAGUUUGCCCAGGCCCUUCGGAGAUUGAUUUAUUUUGCCCAGGCCCGUCGGAGUUUGCCCAGGCCCGUCGGAGUUUGUCCAGGUCCUUCGGAUGUCUUCUUAAUACGAUGCCUUGGGAAGGAAGUAAUAAUGUUUCAGUGUGUUUUUAUCAGAUUUAGAAUUGUGAUAGAUCUGAAAUGUUUAGUGGUUCGGUUGUAAAUAAUUGUCUAUUAUCGGAGUUGUGACUGUUGACAUGAGAACUACGUGUGGCUUGAUCCCUCGGUGAGGGUAUGUAGGCAGCCUAGGGUAAGGCCUAGGUGCAACCACGGGUUAAAGAUUACUUCUGUGUGUUUUGAGUGUGGUGCGGACCAUGUCGUUGGUCCCGAGAUUCAGGUGAGAACGAGAUGUGUUCAUAUUAGGAGGCUAAAGCCUCAUAUGUUGAAAUUGGGAUAGUUAGAUGUUGUAAACUUUGCUUUCGGCUGUCAUAUUUAUGUUUAAGUUAUUAAUUGCCUCAUGUGAAGUACUAUUUGGUUCAAGAGCUUGUUGGUA